rnacentral:rRNA from 1 species
AUGAACGCUGGCGGCGUGCCUCAUACAUGCAAGUCGCGCGAACAGACGAGGAGCUUGCUCCUCUGACGUUAGCGGCGGACGGGUGAGUAACACGUGGAUAACCUACCUAUAAGACUGGGAUAACUUCGGGAAACCGGAGCUAAUACCGGAUAAUAUAUUGAACCGCAUGGUUCAAUAGUGAAAGACGGUUUUGCUGUCACUUAUAGAUGGAUCCGCGCCGCAUUAGCUAGUUGGUAAGGUAACGGCUUACCAAGGCAACGAUGCGUAGCCGACCUGAGAGGGUGAUCGGCCACACUGGAACUGAGACACGGUCCAGGCUCCUACGGGAGGCAGCAGUAGGGAAUCUUCCGCAAUGGGCGAAAGCCUGACGGAGCAACGCCGCGUGAGUGAUGAAGGUCUUCGGAUCGUAAAACUCUGUUAUUAGGGAAGAACAAAUGUGUAAGUAACUAUGCACGUCUUGACGGUACCUAAUCAGAAAGCCACGGCUAACUACGUG